GAUGAACGCUGGCGGCGUGCCUAAUACAUGCAAGUCGAGCGAACAGACGAGGAGCUUGCUCCUUCGACGUUAGCGGCGGACGGGUGAGUAACACGUAGGUAACCUACCUAUAAGACUGGGAUAACUUCGGGAAACCGGAGCUAAUACCGGAUAAUAUUUCGAACCGCAUGGUUCGAUAGUGAAAGAUGGCUUUGCUAUCACUUAUAGAUGGACCUGCGCCGUAUUAGCUAGUUGGUAAGGUAACGGCCUACCAAGGCAACGAUACGUAGCCGACCUGAGAGGGUGAUCGGCCACACUGGAACUGAGACACGGUCCAGACUCCUACGGGAGGCAGCAGUAGGGAAUCUUCCGCAAUGGGCGAAAGCCUGACGGAGCAACGCCGCGUGAGUGAUGAAGGUCUUCGGAUCGUAAAACUCUGUUAUUAGGGAAGAACAAACGUGUAAGUAACUGUGCACGUCUUGACGGUACCUAAUCAGAAAGCCACGGCUAACUGCGUG
rnacentral:rRNA from 1 species